rnacentral:rRNA from 1 species
GGGAGAUACGUGCAGGGGGCGGGGGUAAUAGGUGGGUGGCAAGCGUGGUCCGGAUUCAUUGGGCGGAAGGGGCGGGUAGGCGGCGAGUUGGGUCGGUGGUGAAAACUGGAGGCUCAACCGGCAGAGGUCGAUCGAAACCAUCUGGCUAGAGUCCGGGAGAGGAGAGUGGAAUUCCUGGUGUAGCGGUGAAAUGCGCAGAUAUCAGGAAGAACACCCGUGGCGAAAGCGGCUCUCUGGAACGGUACUGACGCUGAGACGCGAAAGCGUGGGGAGCGAACAGGAUUAGAUACCCGGGUAGUC